rnacentral:rRNA from 1 species
UACAGAGGUCUCAAGCGUUGUUCGGAUUCAUUGGGCGUAAAGGGUGUGUAGGUGGCGCGCUAAGUCGGGUGUGAAAUUUCGGAGCUUAACUCCGAAACUGCAUUCGAUACUGGCGUGCUUGAGGACUGGAGAGGAGACUGGAAUUUACGGUGUAGCGGUGAAAUGCGUAGAUAUCGUAAGGAAGACCAGUGGCGAAGGCGGAUCUCUGGACAGCUCCUGACGCUGAGGCGCGAAGGCUAGGGGAGCAAACGGG